CGAAGGAACAAGAAAACUGAUGAAACAAGUUCAAAAGAAAGGUCUACUCCCCAAGGCAAAAACAAACAACAACAACAAAAACCAGAAGUUUCUGAAGGACAGCAGAAAUGGGAAGUUCUUUCCAUGAUGCAAGGCAAUCAAUGGAAAGUGACCUUCUUUUGUGAGCUACACCUAGGUAGCCCCAGUCAUGUGAAAUCACUGAUGGUAGCAACGGAUAAAGAUGCUGGAAGGGGAAACUGAGGCUUGAAAAUAUAUAUACUUUCAGGGUGGACUUUGGACAUGCUGUUAUUAAAAUGUAAGUCUCUUGACAUUGGAGUAGGAAGAGUGGGUAAGUAGGAUUGUUAGGCUUUUAAAAUAUUCCUCAUUAAGAGGAUUUUUUAAAAACCCAAGUUUUGGUGUUAAAAUUUAAGACACUCAGGAAGGCGGCUUAUUUCAGUUGGAAAGAUAUUAAAUAGUAAGCUGAUUUUCAGGGCCCAAGUAGACAGUAUUUUUUGGAAUCCUGAGGUCUGUUAUUUCUAACAUGCACAUAUAGCACUGACAAAUUCAGUCCAGAUUGAAAAUAAGUCACUGAUGUUUUUGGUAGUUAUUUAUUUCUUAUUGCAAUUCACAUUGAAAUUUUCCUAAAGGUUUUUUUAUGUCUUUAUUUGUUUUGGUAUAUUGGUUCUUAGCUGAUUAAUUAUACUUUUUCCUAGAAUUAAAAUAAGAUUAUGUUUAUCUUAGAAAGGCAAAGAAUGAGUAAAUAUUUAACCCAGAACACAUGAUUUGUUUAUUUUAAAAGUCUAUUGAUCUUUAUCAUUAUUCUUUUUAACAACAUAU
rnacentral:lncRNA from 1 species